CGAGGCAAACCGGGGAAACUGAAACAUCUCAGUACCCCGAGGAAAAGAAAUCAACCGAGAUUCCCCCAGUAGCGGCGAGCGAACGGGGAGCAGCCCAGAGUCAACAUCAAUAUUUACCGCAGGAGAAGGGUCUGGAAAGGCCGGCAAUAAAGGGUGAUAGCCCCGUAUCUGAAGCGGUAAGUGUUGUGAACUCGAAGAGUAGGGCGGGACACGUGUUAUCCUGUCUGAAUAUGGGGGGACCCAUCCUCCAAGGCUAAAUACUCCUGACUGACCGAUAGUGAACCAGUACCGUGAGGGAAAGGCGAAAAGAACCCCGGCGAGGGGAGUGAAAUAGAACCUAAAACCGUGUACGUACAAGCAGUGGGAGCACCCGAAAGGGUGUGACUGCGUACCUUUUGUAUAAUGGGUCAGCGACUUAUAUUCUGUAGCAAGGUUAACCGCAUAGGGGAGCCGUAGGGAAACCGAGUCUUAACUGGGCGUUAAGUUGCAGGGUAUAGACCCGAAACCCGGUGAUCUAGCCAUGGGCAGGUUGAAG
rnacentral:rRNA from 2 species